rnacentral:rRNA from 1 species
CAGUCGAACGAUGAUGCCCACUUGUGGGUGGAUUAGUGGCGAACGGGUGAGUAACACGUGAGUAACCUGCCCUUGACUCUGGGAUAAGCCUGGGAAACUGGGUCUAAUACCGGAUAUGACCUUCCAUCGCAUGGUGGUUGGUGGAAAGCUUUUGUGGUUUUGGAUGGACUCGCGGCCUAUCAGCUUGUUGGUGGGGUAAUGGCCUACCAAGGCGACGACGGGUAGCCGGCCUGAGAGGGUGACCGGCCACACUGGGACUGAGACACGGCCCAGACUCCUACGGGAGGCAGCAGUGGGGAAUAUUGCACAAUGGGCGCAAGCCUGAUGCAGCGACGCCGCGUGAGGGAUGACGGCCUUCGGGUUGUAAACCUCUUUCAGUAGGGAAGAAGCCGCAAGGUGACGGUACCUGCAGAAGAAGCGCCGGCUAACUACGUGCCAGCAGCCGCGGUAAUACGUAGGGCGCAAGCGUUAUCCGGAAUUAUUGGGCGUAAAGAGCUCGUAGGCGGUUUGUCGCGUCUGCCGUGAAAGUCCGGGGCUCAACUCCGGAUCUGCGGUGGGUACGGGCAGACUAGAGUGAUGUAGGGGAGACUGGAAUUCCUGGUGUAGCGGUGAAAUGCGCAGAUAUCAGGAGGAACACCGAUGGCGAAGGCAGGUCUCUGGGCAUUAACUGACGCUGAGGAGCGAAAGCAUGGGGAGCGAACAGGAUUAGAUACCCUGGUAGUCCAUGCCGUAAACGUUGGGCACUAGGUGUGGGGGACAUUCCACGUUUUCCGCGCCGUAGCUAACGCAUUAAGUGCCCCGCCUGGGGAGUACGGCCGCAAGGCUAAAACUCAAAGGAAUUGACGGGGGCCC